CCAGGCACAGUGUCAGACAGAGAGCCAGAGACCGCGGGCGGCUGGGCUCAGUAGUGGCCCGAGAGCCGUCGCGAGCACACCUCCCCGCGCGCGCUCCUCCUCGUCCUCGUCGGCAUCCUCGUCCUGCUCCUCGGCUUCCUUCCUCCUGGUCCUCCUCCUCCUCCUGUGCCAUUUCCUUCUCCUCCACCUCAUGCAGUGCCGUCUCCGUCGCUCGUAGCAGACAGACGCGCAGCCUCUCGAAGAUGAAGCCGGAGAGAGGAGGGAGAGGGAGAGAGAGGGAGAGAGGACAGGUCGACAACGCACCUUCCACGGUUCCUUUUCUCGGAGCGCAGGGGGUGAGGGUGUGAGAGGAAGAAGAGGGAGAAAGAGAAGUGAGGGAGAGAGAAAGAGGAAGAGGAAGAGAGAGAGAAAAACAAACAAACAAACUAAUCUUCAGAUAAUAAGAGAACAACAAACAAACAAAGACAAAAAACAAGCAAACAAACAAACAAACAGACUGGUUACAGAACGCGCUUCGUUAUAAAAAAAAGGAUAUUUUUUUGGUGAAAUUUUUGAAACAGGUAGGUUUUUUUGAGAUUUUUUUUUUCUUUUCAAAUUUUGUAUCACGUAAGAGUUUAUGAUGGUAAGCUUUCAUUCCUAAUUGGCAAUUAACGAGUUGUUUAAGUGUAGUUAAGGUGUAGAUUAAUUAAGGUGUAGUUUGAUGUAGUCAGCUGUGAUGUUGAG